UUCUAUUAUGUAAUGUUAUAAUAUGAUUUGAAGUUACGAAGUUCAAUACAAAAUUUUGGGUUAUAAAUUAGCUAAAUUGUCGUUUGGAAUGGUCUAUUUGGCGACUGCUUAUUCGGAUUGAUUAUCUGCUUAUUGUGUUUUGUUGCAGCAAUAACAUGUUUUGAGGGCGUUUGGAUUGGUUAAUUAAACUUUCUUAUGUGAUUAGUUGCGAAUGAAAUAAGCUAUUUUGAACACGCGGUUUGAAGUUGUUUAUUCCAAAUUGCUUAUUAUAACCGGAUAAAAAGUUUUAAUAGAUAAUCUCAAACACCUGUAGUGUUGAAUUGUGUUUAACUAUGAACUGUUGGUUCUGGUGCAGUGGAUAGAUAAGGAAGGAUAGACUGCAGAUGGAACUGAUGCAGAUGAAGAUAGAAUUGAAUUACUACUGAAGGAAGGCAAGGGUAAAGAUACCGCAGAACUAAUUGCUUUGGGAAGGGAAAACAUAUUUUGAAAACAUAUUUUUUACGCGUAGGUUUGAGUGCAUUUUUGUAGAUUAUUACAUUGUAAACCCAACAUUCUAAUUGGUUAAUUUGAAGUUUGAUAAUUACAUGUA